rnacentral:rRNA from 1 species
CGGCAAGAGCUCAAAUUUGAAAUCUGGCCCCUCCGGGGUCCGAGUUGUAAUUUGCAGAGGAUGCUUCGGGCGCGGUCCCCGUCUAAGUACCCUGGAACGGGUCGUCAUAGAGGGUGAGAAUCCCGUCUGGGACGGGUGGCCGUGUCCGUGUGAAGCUCCUUCGACGAGUCGAGUUGUUUGGGAAUGCAGCUCUAAAUGGGUGGUAAAUUUCAUCUAAAGCUAAAUAUUGGCCGGAGACCGAUAGCGCACAAGUAGAGUGAUCGAAAGAUGAAAAGCACUUUGAAAAGAGAGUUAAACAGCACGUGAAAUUGUUGAAAGGGAAGCGCUUGCGACCAGACUCGCCCGCGGGGGUUCAGCCGGUACUCGUACCGGUGUACUCCCCCGGGGGCGGGCCAGCGUCGGUUUGGGCGGUCGGUCAAAGGCCUCCGGAAUGUGUCGCCCCCCGGGGCGUCUUAUAGCCGGAGGUGCAAUGCGGCCAGCCUGGACCGAGGAACGCGCUUCGGCUCGGACGCUGGCGUAAUGGUCGUAAGCGG